rnacentral:rRNA from 1 species
UGGGGAAUAUUGGACAAUGGGCGCAAGCCUGAUCCAGCAAUGCCGCGUGGGUGAAGAAGGUCUUCGGAUUGUAAAGCCCUUUCGGCGGGGACGAUGAUGACGGUACCCGCAGAAGAAGCCCCGGCUAACUUCGUGCCAGCAGCCGCGGUAAUACGAAGGGGGCUAGCGUUGCUCGGAAUGACUGGGCGUAAAGGGCGCGUAGGCGGCGCAUUUAGUCAGGCGUGAAAGUCCUGGGCUCAACCUGGGGACGGCGCUUGAUACGGGUGUGCUUGAGUGCGGAAGAGGGUCGUGGAAUUCCCAGUGUAGAGGUGAAAUUCGUAGAUAUUGGGAAGAACACCGGUGGCGAAGGCGGCGACCUGGUCCGUGACUGACGCUGAGGCGCGAAAGCGUGGGGAGCAAACA